UACAGAGGUCCCAAGUGUUGUUCGGAUUCAUUGGGCGUAAAGGGUGCGUAGGUGGCGUCGUAAGUCGGGUGUGAAAUCUCGGGGCUUAACUCCGAAACUGCAUUCGAUACUGCCGUGCUUGAGGACUGGAGAGGAGACUGGAAUUUACGGUGUAGCGGUGAAAUGCGUAGAUAUCGUAAGGAAGACCAGUGGCGAAGGCGGGUCUCUGGACAGUUCCUGACGCUGAGGCACGAAGGCCAGGGGAGCAAACGGG
rnacentral:rRNA from 1 species